rnacentral:rRNA from 1 species
GAUGAACGCUGGCGGUGUGCCUAAUACAUGCAAGUCGAGCGAACGGACGAGAAGCUUGCUUCUCUGAUGUUAGCGGCGGACGGGUGAGUAACACGUGGAUAACCUACCUAUAAGACUGGGAUAACUUCGGGAAACCGGAGCUAAUACCGGAUAAUAUUUUGAACCGCAUGGUUCAAAAGUGAAAGACGGUCUUGCUGUCACUUAUAGAUGGAUCCGCGCUGCAUUAGCUAGUUGGUAAGGUAACGGCUUACCAAGGCAACGAUGCAUAGCCGACCUGAGAGGGAGAUCGGCCACACUGGAACUGAGACACGGUCCAGACUCCUACGGGAGGCAGCAGUAGGGAAUCUUCCGCAAUGGGCGAAAGCCUGACGGAGCAACGCCGCGUGAGUGAUGAAGGUCUUCGGAUCGUAAAACUCUGUUAUUAGGGAAGAACAUAUGUGUAAGUAACUGUGCACAUCUUGACGGUACCUAAUCAGAAAGCCACGGCUAACUACGUG